UGGUUCUCAAAACUCUUGGAAAACUGAUGGUGGCGUCAGGGUUCCUUUAGAAAAUGAAAGCGCAAGAGCACCUCAAGGAAGCUUCACGAAGGUUGAGAUUUUCAAGCCUAGAAUGAAAAACGUGAAUCUAUAUCAACUCUCGUGCAAGCUGAAGGACAUCUAUUUCCCAUA